CGGGAUUCGUCGACCUCCAUGGGAAUUUCUACUUUCAACAGGCCUCUCCCUCCUAGGUAUUUAGGCCUUCCUGACAGCGUGGGGGCUGGGUUCUGAGAUCAAGCACCAGGAAAGAACCAAAAGGCAGUGCAUGGCACCUUUUACAUCCUAACCUUGAAAAUCACAGGGGGGAGCAUGAACGCAGUCCCCCACUACCACAAAUUAUGCAUUCGAGUUUCCCACAUU